CCAAUAGGACAAUUUGACAAAGGGGCUGGGCCUGACUCUGCCCCAGCUGGAGGAGACAUCCUGGUGCUGCUUUCCAAGGAUGGAGUCAAGUGUCACCCUCCACCGCCCCGUACCAACAGAAUCUCGUCUUUGAUCUGCUGAGCCCGGUCUCCAAACUGAAACGCCAGCUCCUCCACCUGCUGCUGCAGAGCCCAGCGGAGAGUCUGCAGCUGUUUGGCCUCCUGCCUGCAGUUAAAGAACAGAGAUUGACCACAUUUCCCAUCAUUUCCAAGCUCCAAGCUCAGUCCUCCAUCGUCCCUCUCAAAAGAUACUGGAUGAACAGUGAGGAGAAUUGAAAGAUGCAACCCAGGCUUUGACGACCUUGUCCAGUGGAAGAGCCACAGAUUAAGGAUAGAGUAGAUGCUAAACAAAAAUUCUAAUACUGGGAAGCAAGGGCAAAAAUGAACUAUUGGGAUUUCAUCAAGAUCAAAAGCUUUUGCACA